rnacentral:rRNA from 1 species
UACGAAGGGGGCUAGCGUUGCUCGGAAUGACUGGGCGUAAAGGGCGCGUAGGCGGAUGGCACAGUCAGAUGUGAAAUUCCCGGGCUUAACCUGGGGGCUGCAUUUGAUACGUGUUGUCUUGAGUUCGGAAGAGGGUCGUGGAAUUCCCAGUGUAGAGGUGAAAUUCGUAGAUAUUGGGAAGAACACCGGUGGCGAAGGCGGCGA